rnacentral:rRNA from 1 species
GUCGCCUACGGGGGGCAGCAGUGAGGAAUAUUGGUCAAUGGCCGCAGGGCUGAACCAGCCAAGUCGCGUGAGGGAUGACGGUCCUAUGGAUUGUAAACCUCUUUUGUCAGGGAGCAAAGGGCGCCACGUGUGGCGUUUUGCGAGUACCUGAAGAAAAAGCAUCGGCUAACUCCGUGCCAGCAGCCGCGGUAAUACGUAGGUGGCAAGCGUUGUCCGGAUUUACUGGGCGUAAAGCGAGUGCAGGCGGUUCAAUAA